rnacentral:lncRNA from 1 species
GACGGUGGUGAGGACUCCGUAGUUCACUUUGUAUUUGUUCAUGGCGCCAGCCACGGUGCUUGGUGUUGGUAUAAACUGACCACUCUUCUUGCCGCCGCCGGUUUCAAAGCCACCUCUGUCGACCUCACCGGAGCUGGCAUCAACCUCACCGACUCUAACACCGUCGUCGACUUCGACCAGUAUAACCGUCCUCUCUUCUCUCUCCUGUCAGAUCUCCCUCCUCACCACAAGAUCAUACUCGUGGGACAUAGCAUCGGCGGAGGAAGUGUCACUGAAGCUCUAUGCAAGUUCACAGACAAAAUCUCCAUGGUCGUUUACCUCGCGGCUGACAUGGUUCAACCCGGAUCCACCU